GUUGUCCUAGUGUGAGGGUCAUCCUCGUGCAAGGCUCUCGGGGAUCUCGCCCGUGAGAUUUGCACGAGGAGGGUCCUCUCGCACGAGGGUCUCGCAUGAGGGUCUCGUCUUGCACAAGGGUCUCGCACAAGGAUGGGCCCCGUGCAAGGAGCUGGCACAAGGACAAGGCUUGCAUGGAGAGCUUGCACGAGGAUCUCGCACGAGGAUCUCGCAGAGGGAUGAGGCUCGUGCAAGGAGGUGGCACGAGGAUGAGCUUUGCACAAGGGAAGCCUUGCAUGGGGAGCUUGUGUGAAGAUCUUGCACGAGGAUGAGGCUCGUGCAAGGGCCUGGCACAAGGAUGAGCCUUGAAUGAGGACAAGCCUUGAAUGAAGACCUUGCACGAGGAUCUCGCACGAGGAUCUCACAUGAGGAUGAGCCUCGUGCAAGGAGGUGGCACGAGGAUGAGCCUUGUGCAAGGCAAGCCUUGAAUGAAGACCUUACACGAGGAUCUCGCACAAGGAUGAGUCUCACACAAGGACCUUGCACGAGGACAAGCCUUGCACGAGGAUGAGCCUUGCACGAAGACCUCACAGAAGGACCUUGCACAAGGAUCUCGCACAAGGAUGACCCUCACACAAGGACCUUGCACGAGGACAAGUCUCAUGCCUGGACCCCUUGCACAAGGAAUUUGCACAAGGAUGAGCCUCGCACGAGGACCUUGCACGAGGAAGAGCUUUGCACGAGUACCUUGCACAAGAACCUUGCACAAGGACCUCAUACAAGGAUCUCGCUCGUACAAUCGUGGAGCCUUGCACAAGAAUGAGCCUUGCACGAGGACCUUGCACGAGGACCUUGCACAAGGGCCUUGCACGAGGACCUCACCCCAGAGCCUUGCACGAGGACCUCGCACGGCGGGAUUUGGGGGGUGAGGGGGCACAACACGGUACAGGAGCCCCCCCCACCAGCGCCCACCUUGCACGAGGGCCUCGCACCAGGGGCCGCUCGCACGCCGCGGGGACGGCAGCCACCCCCUGGGGGGGGCACGUGGGGUGGGGGGGGGCUGAAAAUUUCUAUAAUAGUCUAUUUUUGAGAUAAAAAUGCCCAAAAAAGCCCAUUUUGGUGGUUAUUGGCCCCCCCCCGAACCCCCAAAAUUGAGGUAUCUGGGGAGGGGUCUCCCCUGUCGCCCGCC
rnacentral:lncRNA from 1 species